rnacentral:rRNA from 1 species
GACAGAGGGUGCAAACGUUGUUCGGAAUUACUGGGCGUAAAGCGCGUGUAGGCGGUCUGAAAAGUCAGGUGUGAAAGCCCUGGGCUCAACCCAGGAAGUGCACUUGAAACUGCCAGGCUAGAGUAUCGGAGAGGUUGGUGGAAUUCUCGGUGUAGAGGUGAAAUUCGUAGAUAUCGAGAGGAACACCGGUGGCGAAGGCGGCCAACUGGACGAAUACUGACGCUGAGACUCGAAAGCGUGGGGAGCAAACAGG